GGCGGGCCCGCGGUGUAAUGCCGCUGCCGGCUCGCGCUGGUCAG
rnacentral:rRNA from 1 species